CGGUGGCCUGCCGGGAGAAAAUCCUGGGGGUCGGAGUGCAGAGCCUUGCCGUGUUUCCCUAGCAACGGUCUCUGUAGCAGAUGGCCACCUAGUGAUUUGUCGGACUGUGCCGGGUCUGGGCCUCUUGUUCCCAACUCAUAAGGCUUUGCAGCCCUGUUGACCCGAUGUUUCAUGGAACAAUCACAAAAGAACUAACCAGUCAUGAAGAAUGGAGUCACUAUAAUGACAACAUGAUAGAAGAUCAGAAAGAUUUUGUUUUUGUGAAGUUCAGUGGCCUUCAUUUAAAAUCUAUGGAAAAUUUGCAAUCCUGUAUCUCUCUGAGAGUAUGCAUCUUCUCAAACAAUUUUAUCACAGAUAUUCAUCCACUUCAAAGUUGUAUAAGAUUAGUCAAACUUGAUCUCCAUGGAAAUCAGAUAAAGAGUCUACCAGAUACCAAAUUUUGGAGUGGACUGAAGAAACUAAAACUCCUCUAUCUUCAUGACAAUGGGUUUGCAAAGUUAAAGAAUAUAUGUAUGUUAUCUGCCUGUCCAAGUCUAAUUGCCCUCACUAUGUUUGAUUGUCCAGUGAGCCUUAAAAAAGGAUAUAGACAUGUUCUUGUCAACAGUAUAUGGCCUCUCAAAGCACUGGAUCAUCAUGUGAUUUCUGAUGAAGAAAUAAUUCAGAACUGGCAUCUUCCUGAAAGAUUUAGAGCAUAUAACCACCGACUUUUCUUUAAUUUCUGCCCUGCUUUGAAAAAGGGAUCAACCUAUGGUGAUGAAAUUAAUAAUAUCAAAUAUAUUGUUUCAAAAAUUAAUGAAAUUCUGGCUCAUAAUUCACCAGUUUUGAUUGUUCAAAGAUGGAUACGUGGUUUCUUGGUUAGAAAAAAAAUGAGCCCCUUGUUGCAUAAAAAGCAUCAGGAGAAAUUUAUUGGUGAAUGUGAAACAAAGUGGACUUUUAUACCUAAAGGAUACGAAGACAGUCUCUUUAAGCAUCUCUUUCUUCAGCCUGAAACUAAUAGAACAGGAAAACUUGCACAUUGGAAACAUAAUAUACUUUCUCAUGUUGAUUUAAAAAGUUCUAGAGAACAGAGAAAACAUGUUUCCUCUAUAUUAUAUGAAUUAAAAACAAAAGAAAUUUGUAAAAAAUCAAAAACAUCAAGACAUCUCAUUCAAAAAGGUCAGAAGGAAUCUGAAGAUGAAACUGAAGGUGAAGAAUUGGAUGCCAGCUUUAGGGUAUCAGUGUUCAAACUACCCAUAUAUACUUCAGGUUCACUCAAGUAUGAUGCAUUAUUGAAAGAAAAGGAGCAAGAUUAUUUUCCUACAUAUGUCCAGCCAUUUUCUACCACUCAUCAAAAACCAGAAAUUACAAAAAAGGACAUGCUGUUGAAGGGUAAUGUAAGAAAAGAGUUUUUUAUAACACACAGAACUGGUAUAAAACUCCGAACACUUUGUGAUAUUGAUAAAUGUUAUUCCGAACAAAAGAAGCAGGAAAGCCAUAAAAAAAAAAUAACAGCUGUAACUCUGGCACAGGUUGCCCAGGAAAGAGUUAGCUUAGCUGUUCAAGAAAACUUAAAUAAGAAAAAAAAUGCUGCACAAAAACUAAUUGCAAAAGAUAAUGAGACAAUUCGGAAUGGUUUACAACAACUUUGGCAGGACAGAUUCAAUUACCUUGAAAAAGUUAAAGAGAGGAGAGCUCGGUUUCUGAAAGAAAAAAAACAAAAGGCUGAAGACCGUUUAUUAAUUCAAAACAUAAGUAAUGAGCGCACUCUUUUAUGCAAAGGAAUGAUUAAAAUGGACAGAUUGAGGAAGAAUCAGGCUGUCUUACAAGAGAAAAGUCUGAUUGUUCAGCAAAGACUAGAAAUGGAAAAAUAUCAAAAGAAUUUACUUAAACAAAUGAAGGAAAUUAGGACACAGUCUAUAUUUCCCAGCCUCCCUUGCACAGUUAAUUGGAGCACAGGACUGAAUUUUGACCAAUGAAAUCUGAGUAAAAGUGACUGCCAACUCUUCAGGUUUUUCUGCAGCCUGGAAAACUAGAAAUCUCUUGAAGAGAAUGGAAAGAAUUCAUGAGAAAAUGUCACUAUUGGAGCUAAAGAACCUUCAUUUAUCUUCUCAUGAAUAGAGGUGGUCACCAACCAGGCUCAUUUUCCUUCCACCAAAUGCCUUGUAUUCUUCUGUCCAUGAAUUUAAAUCAUCUUCUGUCCAUGAAUUUAAAACAGAUUGGGGCAUACAGUGGUACUUCUGGUGUUUGUCAAGGUAUCAUUAUGGUUCACUUCUUAAAAAUCCAAGAAUCCUUUGGGCAUUAUCUGGGACUUACAAAAAGAAGGUAAAAAGAAGGUCUGGAUCACAGCCCCAGUCUUGCUGAAACAAAGGUGUUCAAGUUCCGGAGCAUCUCAGGUUUUGUCAGCUGAACUGCCAAGGUAAGGGUGAUCUGGCCUUCUCUAUUGCCACAAAGAGAAACCUUUGCUCCCUUCAGGUGAUCAGAUUUAUUUUUCUCUUUUGAUAUCUGUAUAACUAGUUUGUAUAUUUCCAUCAGUAUAUUUACUGAAAUUUCACAGUAGUGAAGGAGGCUCUUUUAUAUUUCUGCCUUGAAUGAAAAGGUUGGGGAUUGAGUGUUGAUGAGGGAAGACUCUCCAGCUACCAAAAAAGUGCAUCCACAAUGCAUGAUGAUUCUCCUUCAAACAGGAUAACAGAAAAAAAGAAAAAUGUGGAUUAAACAUCAGUUUUUUACAUUUCUCCUACUUGGAUAGAUAAUUGGAUAGCUUAUCUAUUGCAUGAGUUUACCUAUAAAUCAAGGCAGACUUUGUUUCAGUAUGCAGAGAACACCAUUCUUUUGGUCCCUCAAAUAUUGCAGAUUUUGUGAGGCAAAAAAUGUUUAAUUUCAUAUAUCUUAAAUUUGGGGAUUCAGCCAUCCUCUUUCUUGGAUUUUCUGCUAGUAUUCAGUUCAGACUUAUAAAAUAUUAAGUGAGAUCAUUCUUUGUCAUGUGAAAAUAACAUACACAUGAAAUGAUAUGUUGAUUGAAUUCUUACCUGAGCUUAAAUGAUUUUCCCGCAAUACUUUGGGUAAAAACAAAUGUCUUUCAUUGGAAUGCAUACCUCUCUUCCAUGAGACUUUAUUUUGAUAAAUACAUUUUGAUUCAUGCUGGAUUCUAUUCACUGGGGUUCAUUCAUGACUAGGACAUACAAAGGAUAGGUAACUGUUUGCUUUGCAAAAUUGUCACGGAAUUGCAAGGCCUAGCAAAAGGUUCAUCAAACCCUAAUAAAGGGAUAUGUUGACUGUGAAGAAGCUGCAUUGCCUUAUGAUGAUGGGAAGACUUUUGAUUACAUUAGAGAAGACCUUGAGUUCAGGUGAAAAUAACAUGGAAUUUGCUGUUUAAUGAUGGAUUACUAAAAGUACUGAAGCGAUCCGUAAAUAUAUAAUAUAUAUAUUUAACUGUGUUUAAAAGAAAAUAUUUAUUUAAAUUUUUAAAAUGUCAAGAAAAUAAAUCUCUACUACUUUUUCCCCCAGUGUUUAUCUUGUUUCCAGUUUUAUCUUUUCUCAAUUUCUCAUAUUUCCAUUUGUAUUCUUUCACAAAAGAACUUCUACUUAUCCAGAAGUAAUACUAUCUUUAUUUCUAAAUGUUCUCUCUUAAGUUACUUAUGUAUUCUAGCUCAAUUAUAUUAAUUUGUGUUUAUUUCUUAACUUUCCUACUAAGUUGUAAGAUUCUUUUUUAAUUUUUUCAUGUUUAUUUAUUUUGAGAGAGAGUGAGCCAGCACAAGUGGGGGAGGGGCAGAGAGAGAGGGAGAGAGAAUCCCAAGCAGGCUCCAUGCUGUCAGUGCAGAGCCCAACAUGGGGUUGGAUCUCACAAACCUGAACAUCAUGACCUGAGCCUAAAACAAGGGUCAGACACUUAACCAAGACACCCAGGCACCCCCUAAUUUGUAAGAUUCUUGGAGCAGAACCAAUGGUCUCACAAAGACUUUGCCUUUGGCAAAUGUUCAACAACAUUUGGAGUGUAAAUGAACAAAUGAAUAUCUUUGUUGUGGAAGAUGAUUACAGCAUUUUAGUUGUCAGCAUCUGAGUGUUACGAAGGUAAAAUGCUUCAGAGCAACUGUGUCAUAUCUGUCAUAAAAUUUUAGAAAACCUUAAAAAUGUCACUAUAUAAUAAAAAAGGCAAUGAUAAAUAGAACACAAAGUUUGUGUUUUAACAAAACGUGAUGACAAGUGAAACAGAUUAAGCUCAACGCCGGUGUGAAAUUAUAGAAUUUGGGAUGGAACUAUUAAACUGGUUCUGUGUUAAGAGUUUUAAGGUAUUCUAGCCUCUGGUAGGAGGUAAAAAGUUGGUAGACUGUGGGGAAAAACAUAGAAAUGUAUCACAGGCACAUAGGAAUCAGUUUUAAUUGCAGAGUACUACAAUUCCUGCACUUUCACUCUUUCUCAUUUUCUCCACAAUCAGCAGCACCCUAAAUCAACUCCCUGCUGUCCCUAACUUUCACGAUAUGGUGGUUUUUUCUUCAGCUCUUUCCAGGCGAGCCUCGGGUCUCCCUAUUCCUCUGCCAUCUUAACCCCUCCAUCUGCAGUGUACUAAAAUGUAGAGUUGACCCUGAAUUUAUUAAUGCUAUUGAACAAGGAGUGUAUAUUUCACUAAAAAUGGAUAGGUACCUAUGCCAGUUUGAUCAUGUAUGGUUAGGAAUAAUCUCAUUUCUCACAUGUUUAAAAUAUUGCAGUUCAGUCAUUUAUGUAUCACCAUUGCUGGCCAGAUAACUUUUCUUGAGAUUUAAAAAUUCUCUCCUGCCACCCUCAUGUUAGCUCGACUGUCUUUAACAGGAGCCCAACAAGUGAUGGAAAAGUCUAACUGAAUUUCAUUUUAAUGAAAGCUACUUAAUUGCAAAAAAUAGUUUUUGCACUAGUUGACAAAUAAGCUAGUGCAAAAAAGCAGGAGGAAAUGCUUGUUACUUGUACAUAGUUGUGUUCCAUGGAACACGUGGUAGAGAGUGCACUUUAGACUCCAGUAGGAUGGAAAUAUGAAUUGGCAGCUUCCAAGAUAGCCAUUAUCUUUUUUUUUAAAGUUUUUAUUUUAAUUCCAGUUAGUUAACAUGCAGUAUUAUAUUAGGGGUAGCCACUGCCUUGACCUUUCCUUUUGUUGAAUUCAUGGUCUCUCAUCUUGGCUUCUCCUUUCAAGUCUGUUUGAUUUUUCAAUUUCUGGUCCUCUGGGGAUAUAAUUUCCUUACAGCUGCCAAAUUUAGCUGUUCUUAAUUUAACUAACUAGCAGAAACCAGCAUCUAUAUCUCAUUAAAACAAAUUUCUGGGAAAGAUAAUGUUAAUGGUCCUGCUUAGUGCACACCUCGUCCAAUAAAAUAUGGUCAAGGAGUGUCAGUUAUUGUAAAUUUGGCUGUCAAGGCUCCCUCCUUUGGAGAGAAGUAGAGUUCUUAGUGAAGUGGAUAGGUCACAUGCUGAAGAGAGAUUCUAACAAAUAUUUUCUACUCCCAUUCACCUUCUGAUGAGGGGCCACCGUCAGAUAGAAAAACAAUUCUCAAGUGGGACAAUGGAGCAGAAAGUAGUAAACUAAUCCUGAAUGUAUAAUACUUGAAAAUGUAUGGGGAAUGUAUAAUGCCUCCUGACUGUCUAUACACAGUCACUACAGAAAUUUGAUAAAAUAUUCCCCAGCUUGCAAAAGUCUACUAGUCUCACUGGCCUCCCUUCACUCAGUCAAAAACCACUCCAAAGGAAAGUUGCCAGAGAUACAGAGACACAGACACAUGUGGGGAAAAUGCCAGUUGAUGAUGGAGGCAGAGGUUGAUGUGCUGAAGCUGCCAGCCAAAGAAUGACAAGAAUUGCUGGCAAAUCGCCAGGAGCUAGAAAGAUGCAAGGAAAGAUUCUUUCUCCCAGGUUUCAGAGGGAGCCUGGCCCUGCCAGCACCUUGAUUGUGGGCUUCUAGACUCCAGAACUGUGAGACACAAAUUUAUGUUUUCCUAAGCCACCUAGUGUGUGGUACUUUGUUACGGCAGCCCUAGCAAACGGAUACGAUACAUUAUAGGAAAGACUAUAAUCUCAGAGUCAUUGCUGGCUCCGUGUAAUCAUUUGUUAGAUGUAUGUCUUCAAAGAUAGCUUUGGACAUACCACUUCUCAUAGUCGAAUGACAAGAAUUUAGAUCCAAAGUGGUCGUGUGGGGGAACUGGAUGAGAAAAUAAGAUGGGAAAUUGAAGGGAGUGAAAUCAAUCAGGAAGAUGGUAAGAGGUGGAGGCAGUCAGGGAUAUGUGUGGGGAGAAAGCCAGCAACAGAGUGCUAGUGGCCAUUUUAGUAAGGAAGUGUCUCAUACAGUUGAUAUUAAUUAUUUGCAGAUUCUGUGUUUGUGAACUUGCCUACUUGGCAAAAUUUAUUUGUAAGCCCCAAAUCAAUACUUGUGGUGCUUUUUCAGUAAUUCCCAUACAUUCCAGGGUAGCAAAAAAAUGGAAUCAUUGAACUAGCAUAUUCCUAGCUGAGGUCAAUGAACAAGGAGCUACUCAGCUGCCUUGUUCUAGCUCUCAUACGGUAAACAAGUGUUUUUUGUGCAGUGUUUUUAGCGUCAUGUUCUUUACAUUUUUGUUUGUAAUUCUGCUGUUUAAAAGGGGCCCCAAGCACCAGGGCUGAAGUGCUAUCUGGUGUUCCUAAGUGCAAAAAGGCUGUGAUAAUGCCUUAUGGAAAAAAAUACAUGUGCUAGAUAAGCUUUCAGGCAGGAGUUAUAGAGUUGUUAGUUGUGAGUUCAAUGUUAAUGAAUCAGCAAUAUAAUAUUAAAUACGGUGACUUUCAACAGAACACACAUAAAACAGAGUAAGUACUGAUUGGUUGAUGAAAAUGUUAUAACCAAAGACUCAAACAUAGGGCCUAACCCUGUUUUCCCAUAGAAGCAGUGGUUCAGUACUUGCUAAUUUAUUGUUUGUGGAGACUUUGUAGAAUAUAACUACUGCAAACAAUGAGAAUCAACUCUAUACGAUUUAAAUUUGUUUGCAGUAUAAUGUGAUGGUAUAACUUCUUCACCAUGAUUCACAAAACUUCAGCAAACAUUUAACUAUAAAAUUGUUUUCAUGGUUUAUUUUGUUCUGAGGGGUAGAAAAGGAGGGUGGGGACAAGGCAGAGUUUUAGAUUUGGGCAAGUGUCCAAACUAAGAUAAAGGAAUAGGCUCAAGAAAGAAGACAGAGAAUUAAGAGGAGCAGAAAUUCUGAGCUGGAGGUUGACCAUGUAAAGCUCCCAGAAGUUCACAGAUAUUUGAAAAGCAUGUGGUCUUCUGCAAGAUGUCUAAUGGGGGUUUGAAAUAUAUGUCAUUAGAUGUUACUUGGCUGACAUUUGUAGCAACACCAAUCUGUCUUUUCCCUAUGUCUGGACUCUUAACCACUAUGAAACUUGUUCAUGUUUUAAGAUAGAUUCAGCUUAAAAACUUUGCACAAGCAUUAAUCAUGCCAAGCAACUUUUAAAUCUGGACUACUAUAAUUUGGUUGUAGGCAUCUUACCACUAUUAUGACAUGUACUAUGCUGUAAAAUACUUCUUGUGUAUAUGCCUGAUUCUUUAUUUAAACCAUAAAUAACUUAUGGCAAGAACCAUGACAAUUCAUCCUUUUAUUUCCACCACCUAGUCCACUGGUGAACAUAAAGAAGGAACUCAGUUAAAUAAAACUUUAUUUUUUUUCUUUUUUGUAUCAAAUUAUUAUUUAAGUAAUCACUUAAGAAUAUUUAUUGCUGUGAAGGGAAUAAGUGUAGCAAUUAAGAGCUCAGGUUCUAGAGUCAGGAAGACCUGGAUUUGAAUCUUAAAUUAUGUGACCUCAGACAGAUUACUUAAGUCUCAGAGUCUCAGUUUCCUCAUCUGUAAAAUGUGGACAACACUAGUAUUAUCUUAUAGGGUUAUGAGCAUUGAAUAAAACUUGUACCUGAUGCCCCUUGCAUGGUUUCCAGCACAUAAUAUCAUAUGACUCAGUAAAUAAUGACAAUAGAAGUAGUGCUAUUUGCACAAAUAGGUAAGGAGAGAGGAUUGGUUGUGGUUGUGAUGUAUUAUGCCACCGGCAGAGAAGAGGAUGGAACAGAAUCCAGCACGAUAGAGCAAACCUUAUAGAGACUAAAUACAUAUAUAACCUAAAGUAUCCUUGGGAUCCAUUCUGUGUUUGCCUUCAGUGACUACUCCUUUUUCCCCAGAACAGUCCCUUCACUUUGAUACCCAAGACCACAUUAUUGACUCAUAGGCUUUCAUGAAGUCUUCAUUAUUGCUGAGAACCCUGUCAAUCACAUAUAAGGAGGGGGCAAGGAGAGAGAUUGCAUCUUUUCAUUCAUUCAUCUAUAUAAGAAAACUUUUUUUAAAGGACCUACUUUGGGUCAAUCACUGUUGAAAACACUGAAAAUACAUCAGUGCAUAAGCUGACCAGAUUCCUGUAUGCAUGAAGCUUACAUUCCAAUUGAGCAGUCUGAAAAUACACACGUAACAAGGUAAAUAAGAGUGAUGACUAGGGGUGGAUGUGGUGACAAUCAGAAAAGGCCUCUCUGAGAAAAUGAGUUUGAACUUGAACAUGAAAAAUGAGAAGAAGGCAGUUAUAAGGAGACCUGCACAUAGGAGUAAUUCAGGCAGAGGGAUCAACUGGGGCAAACAUCUUGGAGGAGAAUCAAUUUGGUGUACUACAGAGAUAAGGUGAAGACCAGUGUAGCUAGAGUGAAGUGAGCAAGGGAGACAGUGUAGGAGUUUAAUUCAAAGAAAUAGGCAGGAGCUAGGAUAUUCCAGGCUAUGAAAAUGCAUUUUGUUUUACUCUAAUUGCAAUAGGAAGGCAUUGAAAGAAAGUGAAGAGAUAGGACAUAAAAACUCCAGUUUUGUUUAACUCUAAUUGUAAUAGGAAACCAUUGAAAGAAAGUGAAGAUAGGACAUAAAAACUCCAUUUGGUUUGUUUCCUGGAGAAUGGUGUUGGAGGAGGUCAUCUAGAGGACAUGACCACUGGUUGACCUUGAGCUGGAUCUGGACAAUGAGAGGCUUCCCGGAAUGUACUUGUCUUUGGAAUGUACUUUUGGCCACCAUUUGUCCACAUGUCCUCACAAGACCCUAACCCUGUUUUCCUCUAGGAACAGUGGUUCAGUAUUUGCUAAUUCAGUGUUUGUGAAGACUUGUCUUUGGAAUGUACUUUCCGGCCACCAUUCCCACAGUCAGAGCCAUUUUCAAAACACAGCCUUGAGAGAACAAUGUGUUAUUGAGAAUAUCUGGAUGGCAUAUGUGACUGAACCCAGUUAAAACUUCUAUAAAACCUUUAAAAAUUUUGGUGGGUGGGUAUAGAAAUCUACUCAUCUUGAGGCUAUCCAAGCAAGCCUCCUAAAUUCCCUUUGUUAAAAGCAAAAUUCAACUGAGUAAAUUUAAAUAUCUAAUGGGUUUUUUCAAACAAUUCAUGAACCUGGUAGCAUCCCAUCCAGCAAGUAGAGAGAUGUUCCAAGGCAAUGUACUGAAAUGGAAGGUUUUAUGGGAAGGAGGGUGGGCCAAAGAAGUUAUUAGCACAAGAAAAGAAAGGAUUGUUUCAGACCUGAGCAUCUGUUUCUGGGAAAGCUAGGGCUUUUAUCACACAAAUUACCUCGCUAGUGUUGAUUGGGAAAUUUCAGAUUGACUGUUAAAAGUUCACAUUCCUGUUCACAUCUAGGAGAGGUUGAAACUGUGAUUAAGUAUUGGUUUGCUGUCAUGGCAGAGCAAAUGACUCCAUUUUGGGCUUGUUUAUUUUUCUUUUCUUUUCCUCUUUUCUUUCUUUCCUUCUUUCUUUCUUUCUUUCUUUCUUUCUUUCUUUCUUUUCUUUCUUUUUUUGGUUUUCGUUGUUGUUGUUGUUUAACAAAUGCAGACUGCCACAUGCAGCACCUCAUUUGGAUAUGUCUGGAAUCUUGGAAGUUUGACUACCCUAUAUUCUCCUACAAAUGGACCUUGAGAGCUUGUUUGGAGAUUCUAACAGGGGAGUACAGCUACUCACAUACACUUGAUGGAAGAAUGGGUCCUUCUCUAUAAGGUCAUCAUCUUUAAGUGAGCAUGCAGCUUCUGGAGGGACAGACAUGGAGCUGUUAGGGAGGAAGGCAACACCUGCCCAGCCAGCCAGAUCAGCUGAAAAUCAACCCUGGUGAUCAAUGGGGUGACAGAUGUCACAGCCAGAGCACCCUCACAUUCCUGUUGUUUUAUUUUUAACAACCUAUUCAUUAAGCCUGCUACCUACCAAUCCCGAGUGGUCUACUCUUUCUUUGACCUCUCCUUGUCCUCCAUGUAUGGGGGCCAGUUUAUGAUUCAACAAAUAGACUGUGGGCUAAGAAUGGUGGGAAAACUGAAUGAGAGAAAUCAGUGAAAGUUAUUGUAGAUGUCUGCUGGACAGAUGAUAGUGAUAUAGACUAGAAUGGUAGGAGGCAUUUAGAUACACAAUAUAUUUUAAAGGUAAAACUAAUAGAAAUUGCUGAUGGAUUGGAUCAUGAAUUAAAAGUCAUUAUGGGUAUAAUAAAGUAUAUUGUUAUAAAAAACACAUUUUUGUAGAUGCUGUCAGAGUGAGCAUACAGGAAUCUAACUCCUAGUGGCCUUGUGUCUGGGGAAUUCCCAUGAAAUCAUCCCUAAGUGCCUAAAGUCAAGGCUCAGGAUCUUGAAUGAAAGGAGCAGAAUGCAAGUCACAACCAAAAUCAUUUCUCAGACUGCAUGCUCCAAAAAUACCCUUUUAUUUCUGAUUACCACAUAGAAUGUGGGUUGUGGGAGUGGGCAAGAUUCUAUUUGACUCUAAGUGAUUUAGGAUAGUUGUGUAAUGUUUUGGUGUUACUCAGAUGUAUAUGGGACAUGUAACUCUGCAGAUGGGCAACCCACAAAAGUCUGUACAGAACUUGUUUGAAAUGUAUAACUCUGACUAAAAGCCUUCUUCAAGCUAUCAUUGUUAGUCUGAUCCCUCCUGUAAAUUAACCUCCUUAUUGGGUAAUUAUCACUGCAGGGUAGAAAUGUUUCCUUCAGCCUCAAUAGUGUUCCAAAGCCUCCAUAAUGUUAAUGAACUUCAGGACUGAGGUCUCCCAGGGUGAAAGGACCCAUAACUCUCUCAAUCCUGGGGAAUGAAACCUUUCUCUCUCUCUCUCUCUCUUUUUAAUGUCCCAAAUGCUCAAUUGCCAAAACAUGUACUCUUCUAAAUUCAAGCCAAUAAAAGUUUUCUCAAUGGGUUUCUUUGGAAUGAUCUUUUUUUUUCUCUUCAGCUUCUUUUUUAAAAUCUCCUUCUCAUUUCCCUUCUCCCUUUCUUCCUCCGUCCCUUCCUCCUCUUUGUUCACUUUCUAAAUUAUGCUUUUUGCUAAUGUGCUUGAUAGGCCCCAACUGUGGGGUAUAGUUGAUUAAAUUGAUUGUACAUCCUCUUGGUCUCUUUUACUUUCCUAAGAAGCAAAUCAUAUAUUUCUGUUAUCACAAGGGAUUUCUAGCUCCAUAUACAUUCUGCAUCUCUCAGGAGGGGACAUGCUAUUGAAACUGUUUUAGUUUCAGUAGAAACUACAACUGUCCAAUUGAAAUUUUGCUGAUUUCUAAGUCAUGAUAUGCUAACAGACCUGGUGGGAUGGGGAUAGAGGGAGUCAUAUUCAUGACAAUAGCUUUAAAAAGUAACUCAUUGAUAAACUGUCACUCAAUGUAUUUAAGGGAGAGCACCACCUGUAUGCCAUCCAAUAGGUACUCCCAGUCCUCCACAGUGGCAUUUUCCAAAGGAUGCACCAUGUUCCUCAGGACAUGCUCUAUAAGAAACAAUUCCAUAGUUAAUGUCUUUGGAAAAUGCUGGGUCAAAUGAGUUUAUUUAAUGUAUGACUUAUUAAGGCUUUUAAUAGUCAAAGCAUUUCUUCCAUUUUUGAGUUUUUAGAAUUCCCAUAUUAUAAAGAAGAUGACCAUAAAACCCCUUUAAGAAAUAUCUCAUGGGGAAAGUGUUCUAUUCUAUGCUGUUCCACAGUUAUCUAGUCACCUAUGCCUUUUGGGAGAAUAACUUUGAGGGCACUCAAAAGAGCAGUAGUGAGGAUAUGGAAGCAACUUAACAAAUUGACUAAUUGAUUACUGUCUUCCCUCUGGGUAGACACCAUGGGUUCAAAAUGAAAGAGUUUUUCCCUAGAGGUACGUUAUUUUACUUAAGUCAAUUUUUGAAAGUAGUUUAACUAGAAGAGAUUCUCCAAAUGGAAAAAUUUGACCUUGGGUGAAAAAAAGGUUUAUGUGCUCAAGCUUAUAUUGGUAAAUGCUCAAGCUUUGAGCUGUUACUAUAGCUCCCUUUGAUUUUGAUGCUGUUAUUCUUUUAUAGCAGAAAAGUGGCUUAAUUUCUUUAGCUUCUUUUGUAUCCCUAACAAAUUUUCUGUAGAAUAGUGAGGAUUUUUCUCUAUUUAGGAUAUAUUAAGAGUUAAAUUGUGGCAUUGUAAGAGAGGCUGUCCAGAAGCAAAAAUUCGAUGUUUAUUAAGUUUUUACUGGCUGUGCCCUAUAGGCCCUGGCUUAUUCUGGUCACUAUUUAUUGUAUUAUGCUAUACAAGUUCUUGUGCCCGAGGGCCAGUUGCUGAUAAAGUACAGGAACAAAGCCAAAUAUGUAUUACAGCCAAGUAAGGGAAGUAAAUAGAACUAAUAAUCUUACUGGAUUUUCUAAAAGAAUGCCUUUAGAAUAAAGCCCUAGGCAAAGGGAAAUAUAAUAAUAAGGGAUAAAACUGUCAUGCAAUUGACUUUAUAGUGAUUCCUUGCUCUAUAGAGCAGUAUCUUAACCUAUGACUUAGGGGUUCUAUUGGAUCUUGGAAGAUAUCCUGGCUACCUCUUAGUUGAUAUGCUUCUCAUCCAGGAACGCUUAGACUCCUGUAGACAAUCAUAAGCUUUAUUUGAUUUUGUACCAGCCAUUGCAAGGUUGUCUUGAGAUAGUUGUAUUCACUACUAAUAAUGUCCAAUCAAAAGGCUGUUGUGUUCUAGGAAUCUCUGAAAGUUAUAAAUUGCCAGAGAAAGUGUUUUUUUUAUUUUUUGAAGUUAUCCAACAAAUACUAAGUGCCUCUCUGUGCAGGCACUGUUCUGGGUACUUGAAUCCAGAAAAACCAGGUAUCUCUCAAUGCCAUUUUCUGACUUCAUAAUGCUACUGCAUACAUAGCUUAAACUAAUGCUAUAGACUGGCUUGUUUUAGGGAGUCAUUAAAGCAAAUACUGACCUCAGAAAAGCAGAGUGAUAAGGGAAAUCUACUGGCUUAACUUCAUCAUCUGAGAGGUUCUGUGUUAUACAGUAUUUACUUCAUUUGCUUGAUUUUGAGCUUGGAUGUGGCUUUUUCUCUAUAACAAAAUGUUACCUUCACAUCUAUAUUCAAUCACUAGCUAUGAGAAGACAUGGUAGCCACCUUUUAGGGUUAUUUAGCCCAUAUCCAUUCUCCUUUUGGAUACAUGACUCUGACCUACUGGCCACAGUUUACUGAUGCAGAAGACACUUGACCUGUGGAACUGUAUCAAGGUGAUAGGAGUGCUUUAGACCUAGAACACAAGUUCAUGUAUCCUUUCUAUCAUGGUGCCUAGACCUAUAUGUUGCCUCUUUAUAAUGAAUCUUAGUUAUUCAGCUCUUCCUUUUAUUGUAACAUUAUUAAAAUGUUAUAUUAUUAAUAGUAUAUAUUGAAUAUAUAUUGAAAACUACAAGACAUUAAUAAAAAAAAUUGAAGAAGGCACAAAUAAAUGGAAAGAUAUACUGUGUUCAUGGAUUAGAAGACUUAAUAUUGUUAAUGUGUCCAUACUACCCAAAGCAAUAUAUAGAUUCGACGCAAUCUCUUCUAAGUACCACUGGCAUUUUUCACAAAAACAAAAUAAACUCCUAAAAUAUUUAUGAAACCAUAAAAUACCCAAAAUAAGCAAAACUGUCUUGAGAAAGAACAAAGCUGGGAAUAUCACACUCCCUGAUUUUAAAAGUAUAUUACAAAGCUCUAGUAAUUAAACAGUAUGGUAUUGGCACAUAGAUCAGUGAAACAGAAUAGAGAGCCCAAAUAUAAGCCCACAUAUACAUGGUCAAUUAAUUUAUGACAAAAGAGUCAAGAAUAUACAAUGGAAAAAGGACAGUCUCUUCAAUAAAUGCUGCUGGGAAAAUUGGACAACCACAUACAGAAGAACAAAACUAAACCACUAUCUUAUACUGUACACAAACAUUAACUCAAAAUUGAUUAAAGACUUGAAUGCAAGCUCUGAAACCAUAAGCUCCUAGAAGAAAACAUAGGCAGUAAGCUCCUUGACACAGGUCUUGGCAAUGAUGUUUUUGAAUCUGACACCAAAAGUACCAAAGGCAAAAAUAAACAAGUGGGACUAUAUUAAGCUAGACAGAUUCUAUAUAGCAAAGGACACCAUCAACAAAAUGAAAAGGCAACCUACUAAAUGGGAGAAAAUAUUUGAAAAUCACAUGUCUGAUAAGGGCUAAUAUCUAAAAUACAUAAAGAUCUCAUAUAACUUAACAACAAAAAAUCAAACAAUUGAUUGAAAAAUAGGCUGAAGAUCUGAAUAGACAUUUUUCCAAAACAGACACACAGAUAGCCAAUAGAUACCUUAAAAAGUGCUCAGUAUCAUUAAUCAUCAGGGAAAUGAAAAUCCCAAAUCCAUAAUGAGAUAUCACCUUAUACUUGUUAGAAUGACUAGUAUCAAAAAGACAAGAAAUAACAAGUGUUGGUGAGGAUGUGAACGUCGUUGGUAGGAAUGUAAAUUGGUGUAGCCACUAAGGUGGAAAACAGUAUGGAGGUUCUUCAAAAACUUAAAAAUAGAAUUACCUUAUGAUCCAGCAGUUCCACUUCUAAAUGUUUAUGAAAAAAACCCAAAAGGGAAUGCAAGCUGGUGCAGCCACUCUGGAAAACAGUAUGGAGGUUCCUCAAAAAACUAAACCUAUGACCAGCAAUUGCACUACUAGGUAUUUAUCCAAGGGAUUCAGGUAUGCUGUGUUGAAGGGACACACCCCCCCAAUGUUUAUAGCAACUCAAUCAACAAUAGCCAAAGUAUGGAAAGAACCCCAAUGUCCACCAACGGAUGAAUGGUUAAAGAUUUGUGUGUGUAUAUAUAUAUAUAUAUAUAUAUAUAUAUAUAUACACAACAGAGUAUUACUUGGCAAUCAAAAAGAAUGGAAUCUUGCCAUUUGCAACUGUGUGGAUGGAACUGGAGGGUAUUAUGCUAAGUGAAAUUAGUCAGAGAAAGACAAA